GUCUUCUGCGCGUGGCGACUCCACCCGUGUGGGAGCUCUGUUAAGGGAGUGCCCGGCAGCACACUUUGCUGUCUGUGGUCUGUGGACAUUGACUGGCACCUAAGCGACACCCAGCUCCCUCCUCUCCCCCUAGAAGCCACUGUCUUAGAGCCUCCAUGCGCAUUUGCUAUGACAUACAUCAAUGUUGAUGAGAGACAGGAACACUGCCGGGUCUUGAGCUGCCAAAAUAAUCAGCUCUGCGCACAACAUGGCUUAAAGGAUUUUCCGGUUAGCAGCAUGCAUCCUCUAAAGAACUUAGACACUCGCAUUUGGUCCGGGGACUUCCACACUCUAGACUCCUGCCGCACAGGCAAGGCAGCUUUGGGCAGUGCUGUGGAAAACCGCCUGUAUCGGAGCGUGGAGAACCUUCACUGGGCGGCAGUGGCUGACUCGGGGCUGCGUUCUCACUGCCGGAGCCUGGACAACGAGAUCAGCUUUGGCUGUAGAGGCAGCAGUCAGUGGGCAGAAGGCUGCGUGGAUGUGGCCCCGCUACGGAGCGCGUCGGACUCGGUGAGAAACCUUUCUCUCCGCCCCAAGCAGACAUCGCGGGCAGUGCAGAACGUGCUGCCCUUUGCCAAAGUGCCUCAGUGGCUCUUCCCCUCUGCAGAGGAAAGAGCCCUACGCGGGGAUGCUAAAAAAGAGCUGAAGGAGAAGCUGAGGCUGCACAGCAGUAAGGUGGCUGAGCCCAGCAAGCCGCUGCGCCCGCAGGCAGCCCUGAGUGAGCUGGUGGCCCAGGAGCUUUCUGAAUGCCAGCUGUGCCAGCAGCACAGGAACGGCUGUGCUGUCAGCUGCUGCACGGUUUUGGGGGAGCACACGGCUCUCAGGCACGGCCUCGCGGGGAGGCAGAGCUGCUGUGCUGCACACAGGCCCGUCAGUCCAGAAGACAUCAAGCAGGAGGCGCAGAGGAGGCUGCAGCUCCGGAGGCAGAACAGCUCGCCCAGCCUGCCCUUUCAGCGUGCUGGGGAAAGCCCGGAGAUGGCAAAAUCCAGAACAGCAGAGUUCCUGGAACGGCACGGUGGGGAAAUAACGCUGGGGCAGGGCAAGAAGGGCCGCUGCAGAGGAAGGCUCUACAUCCCCACCUUCGAGGAAUUCAAGCAAAUGAGGAGUAAGGAGGCAAAGCCACCUGCUGGAAGCAGCGAGCCGACAAAGUGCUUGAAGAAGGGUCUGAUGGCAAACCAGGCCCUGGACAAGGAGAGCAAUAAUGUCUGUCCUGAAGCUCUGGGGACCAAAGCAGUGAAUGAAGCUGCCACCACAGAGGAGGAUGAUGAUGUGUUCCAUGAAAACAACACCACCGCUGGCUUUGCGCAAUAUCCAGCUACAUGGGAUGGUUUCAGGACGAGCAGCCCUGAGGUGAAGGAGCGAACCUUCCAGAUCUCCAGCCCAGAGAGAUCCCCGAUCCCCAUUUGCUCUAGCCCUAUUCCGCGAUCACCUUUGCAGGCUGUAGCCACACACAAAGCUGGGCAGGAAAUCUUCAGUGAUGAGCAGCAGAAAGGAGAGACAAGCCAAUUAAAUGAUGUCCUCCACCUUGCAGGGCAGUCACUGGCUUCUGAAGCCCAGUCCUCUUGCUGUUCAUCGCUGCUGUUAGAAGCCACGGACUUGUCAAGCUAUGGAGCUAAACUACAAAAAAUGAAGGAUGAAUUCAUAGGUUCAGCCCUGGAACUUAUUAAGAAAAGCUGCAAUGCCGAGACUGCUGCCAAAUCCCCCUCCAAGGGACAGUGUGAUCUGAAGAAAGCCGAUCUUCCCCCUCCGGAGGACAGCCAGCAACCCGCAGCGAUGUCCAUGGCAACAGAGGCCUGGGAGGAGAAGGCGAGCAGUGAGACAUCCAGCGAGGCUCAGCCCGCGGGGAACACCUCCAGCCCCGGCUGCCGCCGCUCCAGCUCCGACAUCGUCCAUGAGAGCGGCGCCAAGGCCCAGCGGGAGUGCCGGCUGCGGCCACACUUCAGCGACCCCAUGCCGACGGACUCGGUGAAGAGGAAGCAGCUGGAGCUGAAGAUCGCGGCGGCGGCGCGGCAGCACGCGCAGAAGCGCCGGCAGGAGCGGGACUACGGUACCCACAGGGUGCACUCCCAGGGGGGUGGGCGAUGGGCCAGGUGCUGAGCUGCCUGGCUGCCUUUACUUCUGCUUCCCACCCCCGAACUUUCCAGCAGCGAAACAGGAGGGGAGGCAGCCAGCAGCCCUGCUUUCAUCAGGUCUCCCUGCCAGGGUUCGUGCUGCUCGUGGCUGUGCCACGCUGAGCUCCGUGCAGCUGGCAGUGCCUGUAGUGAUUUCCAUCUCUUCCCAGGUCCCGUGGUAGCCAAAGCCAACCUUGGCCACGGCGGCAGCUUCGACGAGACUCGCCGCGCCCCACGUGGCUCCCUCCGCUCCCGGCACCACUGGAGCAACGUCAGCAGCCUGAGCACAGACAGCGGGAUCGUCGGCCUGAACGACGCCCGCGAGGAGCUGGAUGCCGGCGGCGAGGCCACGCGGACCAAGCCGGCAGAGGUGGAGCGGGCAGACAGCGGCAUCGGGCAGACGUCGGCCAGGAAGUGGAGGAGCAGGGCGGCCGAAACGCUGAGCUCCCUGCAGGCCUGGGAAGCCCACCGGCCCUGCACUGACUGCGGAGAAAGGGACCUCCCGGCAGAGACGGACGUGCAGAACUGCAACCAGCGGCGGGCCGACCUCUGCGAGAAGUGCCGCAAGCGCAGGACGGAGCGCAAGGAGUCUGUGCUGGAGUUUGUCAACACGGAGGCCAGCUACGGGGAGGACCUGCGCAUCAUCAAAGAGGAGUUUUACCUCCCCAUGCAAGCGGCCGGGCUGCUGAGUCAAGAGCAGCUCCUUGGCAUCUUCAGCAACAUUCAGGAGCUCAUUGACCUCAACGAGAACUUCCUGGAGAUCCUGCAGGAAGAGAUCGAUCAGGCCUUUGACCAGGUACGGUGCCUGCGUGCUCUGCAGGCAGACAGGAGUAGGUUUUGUAU
rnacentral:lncRNA from 1 species